GACGAACGCUGGCGGCGUGCCUAAUACAUGCAAGUCGAACGCUUCUUUCCUCCCGAGUGCUUGCACUCAAUUGGAAAGAGGAGUGGCGGACGGGUGAGUAACACGUGGGUAACCUACCCAUCAGAGGGGGAUAACACUUGGAAACAGGUGCUAAUACCGCAUAACAGUUUAUGCCGCAUGGCAUAAGAGUGAAAGGCGCUUUCGGGUGUCGCUGAUGGAUGGACCCGCGGUGCAUUAGCUAGUUGGUGAGGUAACGGCUCACCAAGGCCACGAUGCAUAGCCGACCUGAGAGGGUGAUCGGCCACACUGGGACUGAGACACGGCCCAGACUCCUACGGGAGGCAGCAGUAGGGAAUCUUCGGCAAUGGACGAAAGUCUGACCGAGCAACGCCGCGUGAGUGAAGAAGGUUUUCGGAUCGUAAAACUCUGUUGUUAGAGAAGAACAAGGACGUUAGUAACUGAACGUCCCCUGACGGUAUCUAAACAGAAAGCCACGGCUAACUACGUG
rnacentral:rRNA from 1 species